rnacentral:rRNA from 1 species
GGGAAACCCUGACGCAGCAACGCCGCGUGGGUGAUGAAGGUCUUCGGAUUGUAAAGCCCUGUUUUCUGGGACGAUAAUGACGGUACUAGAGGAGGAAGCCACGGCUAACUACGUGCCAGCAGCCGCGGUAAUACGUAGGUGGCGAGCGUUGUCCGGAUUUACUGGGCGUAAAGGGUGCGUAGGCGGAUGUUUAAGUGGGAUGUGAAAUCCCCGGGCUUAACCUGGGGGCUGCAUUCCAAACUGGAUAUCUAGAGUGCAGGAGAGGAAAGCGGAAUUCCUAGUGUAGCGGUGAAAUGCGUAGAGAUUAGGAAGAACACCAGUGGCGAAGGCGGCUUUCUGGACUGUAACUGACGCUGAGGCACGAAAGCGUGGGUAGCAAACAGGAUUAGAUACCCUGGUAGUCCACGCCGUAAACGAUGGAUACUAGGUGUAGGGGGUAUCAACUCCCCCUGUGCCGCAGUUAACACAAUAAGUAUCCCGCCUGGGGAGUACGGUCGCAAGAUUAAAACUCAAAGGAAUUGACGGGGGCCCGCACAAGCAGCGGAGCAUGUGGUUUAAUUCGAAGCAACGCGAAGAACCUUACCUGGACUUGACAUCCCUUGCAUAGCCUAGAGAUAGGUGAAGCCCUUCGGGGCAAGGAGACAGGUGGUGCAUGGU